CAUUCCAUAGAAAGAGGGAAGUAUUGUGGAUGGGCCUAGUGCUGUUUGCAUUCUAAUUCCACUCUCUUGGGAGGAGUUGUGGACAAGGCGUUUGGUCAGUUUGAAAACAGAUGUGAGUGGAGGGGAAC